rnacentral:lncRNA from 1 species
GCAGGCUGUAGGCGCAUGAUGUCACAAGUUAUUGGAAGAAAUCCCUCCAACCUAGGUUGGGACAGAUGAAGGCGGCGCUUAUUGGUGUUCACCAAAACACCAGCAUGGUGUACCAGCUUUGGCUAGAUGAUGCUCAGAACACCAGAGACUGGGUAAUUAAUAAAAAGAAGAAAUUGAUCUGGCCUACAGUUCUGGAGCCUUGGAAGUCCGAGAUCAAGGAGCUGCAUCUGGGUUCUAGGAUGCCUCAUAAAGGCCCGUAGUGUACUUUCUGUCUACUUCACUUAGCUCCGCAUUUGCAAUUUCUGUUAACAUGCAUACAGUUGAAUGGAUGGCCAGGAUCAAAGCUAUCUGCUGUGAGACACAAUGAGAAAUGCUUUUGUGUAAAGAUAAAUACCUGGAGUGGGAUUGCUAGAUCACAUGGAAAACACAGAUCCUGGUGCCGAACAUGAGGACAGGGCAGGCCGAAGGAGAAAGUGGAAGGAGGGGAGCUUCUCUCUCAGCCUCAUCCUUCUGGGCCUGGAUGCUGGAGAGUCAUGAGGUGCUUCAGAGUACUCUGGGUGAGGAGGGAAAGAUGGUGCCCACCAC